rnacentral:rRNA from 1 species
UUGGAGGGCAAGUCUGGUGCCAGCAGCCGCGGUAAUUCCAGCUCCAAUAGCGUAUAUUAAAGUUGUUGCAGUUAAAAAGCUCGUAGUUGAAUUUCGGAAUUUUUUUAUCGGUUGAAUCAACAGGUUCGUACUGAUUUUAAGAAUUUCUACCUUCUGGAGAACCUUAAUGUCAUUUAUUUGGUGUUUUGGGAAACCAGGACUGUUACCUUGAAAAAAUUAGAGUGUUUAAAGCAGGCUUAUGUCUGAAUAUAUUAGCAUGGAAUAAUGAAAUAGGACGGCAUGGUUCUAUUUUAUUGGUUUCUAGGAUCACCGUAAUGAUUAAUAGGGAUAGUUGGGGGCAUUAGUAUUCAAUUGUCAGAGGUGAAAUUCUUGGAUUUAUUGAAGACUAACUUCUGCGAAAGCAUUUGCCAAGGAUGUUUUCAUUAAUCAAGAACGAAAGUUAGGGGAUCGAAGACGAUCAGAUACCGUCGUAGUCUUAACCAUAAACUAUGCCGACUAGGAAUCGGACGAAGUUAAUUUUUUAAUGACUCGUUCGGCGCCUUACGGGAAAC